AAACAAAGAGGUAAAGAUGGGAUCCACUGAAGAAGAAAGACCUGGGUCUUCAGCACCCUGUGUGCUAGCCCAGAAGUGUUAUUUGAAAGCCUCUGUUACAUCUGCUGCAGACCCCCUAAACAAGUGGACUUGCAUUUGGACAUUCUCAGCAGGAAUGGUUAUAGGCUGACAGGACCAUAAAGGAGAUGAUGCUAGAUAGUUGAUAGAUCUUAUAGUUCAACUUCAUCCUAGAUAGAAGCGGGAUUCAUCUGACAGCAGAGAAAUGAAAUUUCAGGAGACCAAAACUAGAUCUGAGUUUCUUUAUAGAAACUUCUUUUCCAGCCUUGAAACUCUUGGAUGCUGAGUCCUGGAUAUGCAAUAGAUGACGACAACAUUUUCCUUUUAUGUAUGAAGGUGUAGAUGGAAGCUGACUUUUCUCACCAAAAAUGGUUUAUAGAAUCAACUUGAAAAACAUGAGGCAGCAAACAAAGGAAAGAGUAAAAUAUUUCUUUUAUCAUCCUUAGGUUCUUUGCUAGAUUGUAAACUCCAUGAAAGCAGGAUAACUUCCCUAUCCUUAACACCUGGUCUAUAAUAAAUACUCAAAAAAUAA